ensembl:lncRNA
GUAAAUGGUGCACACGCGCCAAUUGCAUCACUAGAUCCAGGUCCGUGAAUACUACGCAGACGACCAAAUCCAGACACGCCGGCCACUAGGUGGCGCUAUACCAAGGAAAGACGCGUUUGGGGCUAUAACUCCCACACCGAACCUCCCACAGUCAAAAACUUGUACCCACUUAUUCACUGGAGUCUGCUGCAUCUUUUGGCAUAGGCCACGCCCAUUUGCGUCUGGAAUUUUUUUUCGCAAAAUCGCGAAAACCGCAAAAGUGUUUUUUCCAUACUCCUCCCACAUUUCUCGACCAAUCAACACCAAACUUUGCACACGACAUCUUCAGACGCACACGAAAAGAAAAACUCAAACACUUUUUGAUCCGACCUUCGAUUACGAAACGGUAGCGUUUUGAAUAUUUGUUUAUAAGCUAAAUUAGACGUGGAAUAUCAAAAAUCCAAAGAAAUCCAAAAUUAGACAUCGGAU